rnacentral:rRNA from 1 species
UACGGGGGGGGCAAGCGGUUGUUCGGAAUUACUGGGCGUAAAGGGCUCGUAGGCGGCCAACUAAGUCAGACGUGAAAUCCCUCGGCUUAACCGGGGAACUGCGUCUGAUACUGGAUGGCUUGAGUUUGGGAGAGGGAUGCGGAAUUCCAGGUGUAGCGGUGAAAUGCGUAGAUAUCUGGAGGAACACCGGUGGCGAAGGCGGCAUCCUGGACCAACACUGACGCUGAGUGAGCGAAAGCCAGGGGAGCAAACGGG